GUUCCUGUGGUGGAAUUGGCAGACACGUUGGAUUUAGGUUCCAAUGCCCAUCAGUGUGAGAGUUCGAGUCUCUCCAGGAACACCA
rnacentral:tRNA from 1 species